AUUGAACGCUGGCGGCAGGCCUAACACAUGCAAGUCGAGCGGAUGAAGGGAGCUUGCUCCUGGAUUCAGCGGCGGACGGGUGAGUAAUGCCUAGGAAUCUGCCUGGUAGUGGGGGAUAACGUCCGGAAACGGGUGCUAAUACCGCAUACGUCCUGAGGGAGAAAGUGGGGGAUCUUCGGACCUCACGCUAUCAGAUGAGCCUAGGUCGGAUUAGCUAGUUGGUGGGGUAAAGGCCUACCAAGGCGACGAUCCGUAACUGGUCUGAGAGGAUGAUCAGUCACACUGGAACUGAGACACGGUCCAGACUCCUACGGGAGGCAGCAGUGGGGAAUAUUGGACAAUGGGCGAAAGCCUGAUCCAGCCAUGCCGCGUGUGUGAAGAAGGUCUUCGGAUUGUAAGGCACUUUAAGUUGGGAGGAAGGGCAGUAAGUUAAUACCUUGCUGUUUUGACGUUACCAACAGAAUAAGCACCGGCUAACUUCGUG
rnacentral:rRNA from 1 species